GCAGUCCCCGCCUUACCACUCGGCCAUAUCGCC
rnacentral:tRNA from 20 species